CGGCGGACGGGUUGAGUAACACGUGGGCAACCUGCCUGUAAGACUGGGAUAACUCCGGGAAACCGGAGCUAAUACCGGAUAACAUUUUCUCUUGCAUAAGAGAAAAUUGAAAGAUGGUUUCGGCUAUCACUUACAGAUGGGCCCGCGGUGCAUUAGCUAGUUGGUGAGGUAACGGCUCACCAAGGCAACGAUGCAUAGCCGACCUGAGAGGGUGAUCGGCCACACUGGGACUGAGACACGGCCCAGACUCCUACGGGAGGCAGCAGUAGGGAAUCUUCCGCAAUGGACGAAAGUCUGACGGAGCAACGCCGCGUGAGUGAUGAAGGCUUUCGGGUCGUAAAACUCUGUUGUUAGGGAAGAACAAGUACAAGAGUAACUGCUUGUACCUUGACGGUACCUAACCAGAAAGCCACGGCUAACUACGUGCCAGCAGCCGCGGUAAUACGUACGUGGCAAGCGUUAUCCGGAAUUAUUGGGCGUAAAGCGCGCGCAGGCGGUUUCUUAAGUCUGAUGUGAAAGCCCACGGCUCAACCGUGGAGGGGUCAUUGGAAACUGGGGAACUUGAGUGCAGAAGAGAAAAGGCGGAAUUCCACGUGUAGCGGUGAAAUGCGUAGAGAUGGUGGGAGGAACACCAGUGGCGGAAUGCGGGCUUUUUUUGGUCUGUAACUGACGGCUGGAGGCGCGAAAGCAUGGGGGAGCAAACAGGAUUAGAUACCCU
rnacentral:rRNA from 1 species